rnacentral:lncRNA from 1 species
GGGAAUGCUACCAAAUAUCCUGCAGUAAACAGGACAAGCCGCUGCAACAACGCUAUAUCUGGACCAAAUACUACCAAAGCUGAGAAAGACUGCUCCGAGGCAGAUGACAGCUUUCAGUCCUUGAUGGAUGGAAGAAGAGGGGACGCCUUCUUCCUGUUCUGGAUUCUGGAAAGCUCAAUGUCUCCUUACAGCUCACCAUUUACAUGAGAAUGUGACAUGCUUGUUAGAAAAAUUUGGAUCAGGUGCAGUGGCUCACACCUGUAAUCACAGUACUUUGGGAAGCUGAAGCAGGUGGAUCAUUUGAGGCCAGGAGUUCAAGACCAGUCUGGCCAAUAUGGUGAAACCCUGUCCCUACUAAAAGUAAAAAAAUGUGUUGGAUAUGAUAGCGGACCUGCAGUCCCAUCUACCUGGGAGGCUGAGACAGAAGAAUCACUUGAACUUGGGAGGCGGAGGUUGCAGUGAGCUGAGAUCGCACCACUGCACUCCAGCCUGGGUGAUCAGAGCAAGACUGUAAAAAAAAAAUUGCUGAUGUUCAAACCGUGUGCAUUUUUCUUUCUCCUUUGUUUUAGUGUGGAACACUUCUAAAC